GAUGAACGCUGGCGGCGUGCCUAAUACAUGCAAGUCGAGCGAACGGACGAGAAGCUUGCUUCUCUGAUGUUAGCGGCGGACGGGUGAGUAACACGUGUAUAACCUACCUAUAAGACUGGGAUAACUUCGGGAAACCGGAUCUAAUACCGGAUAAUAUUUUGAACCGCAUGGUUCAAAAGUGAAAGACGGUCUUGCUGUCACUUAUAGAUGGAUCCCCGCUGCAUUAGCUAGUUGGUAAGGUAACGGCUUACCAAGGCAACGAUGCAUAGCCGACCUGAGAGGGGGGUAGGCCACCCUGGAACGGGAGAAACGGCCCGGAGCCUGAGGGAGGGAACAGGAGGGAAUCUUCCGCAAAGGGCGAAAGCCUGACGGAGCAACGCCGAGUGAGUGAUGAAGGUCUUCGGAUCGUAAAACUCUGUUAUUAGGGAAGAACAUAUGUGUAAGUAAAUGUGCACAUCUUGACGGUACCUAAUAAGAAAGCAACGGCUAACUACGUG
rnacentral:rRNA from 1 species